AGCGAACGCUGGCGGCAGGCCUAACACAUGCAAGUCGAACGGAUCCUUCGGGAUUAGUGGCGGACGGGUGAGUAACACGUGGGAACGUGCCCUUUGGUUCGGAACAACUCAGGGAAACUUGAGCUAAUACCGGAUGUGCCCUUCGGGGGAAAGAUUUAUCGCCAUUGGAGCGGCCCGCGUCUGAUUAGCUAGUUGGUGAGGUAAAGGCUCACCAAGGCUACGAUCAGUAGCUGGUCUGAGAGGAUGAUCAGCCACAUUGGGACUGAGACACGGCCCAAACUCCUACGGGAGGCAGCAGUGGGGAAUCUUGCGCAAUGGGCGAAAGCCUGACGCAGCCAUGCCGCGUGAAUGAUGAAGGUCUUAGGAUUGUAAAAUUCUUUCACCGGGGACGAUAAUGACGGUACCCGGAGAAGAAGCCCCGGCUAACUUCGUGCCAGCAGCCGCUGUAACAC
rnacentral:rRNA from 1 species